UAGAGUUUGAUCCUGGCUCAGAGCGAACGCUGGCGGCAGGCUUAACACAUGCAAGUCGAACGGGCGUAGCAAUACGUCAGUGGCAGACGGGUGAGUAACGCGUGGGAACGUACCUUUUGGUUCGGAACAACACAGGGAAACUUGUGCUAAUACCGGAUAAGCCCUUACGGGGAAAGAUUUAUCGCCGAAAGAUCGGCCCGCGUCUGAUUAGCUAGUUGGUGAGGUAAAAGCUCACCAAGGCGACGAUCAGUAGCUGGUCUGAGAGGAUGAUCAGCCACAUUGGGACUGAGACACGGCCCAAACUCCUACGGGAGGCAGCAGUGGGGAAUAUUGGACAAUGGGCGAAAGCCUGAUCCAGCCAUGCCGCGUGAGUGAUGAAGGCCCUAGGGUUGUAAAGCUCUUUUGUGCGGGAAGAUAAUGACGGUACCGCAAGAAUAAGCCCCGGCUAACUUCGUGCCAGCAGCCGCGGUAAUACGAAGGGGGCUAGCGUUGCUCGGAAUCACUGGGCGUAAAGGGUGCGUAGGCGGGUUUUUAAGUCAGAGGUGAAAUCCUGGAGCUCAACUCCAGAACUGCCUUUGAUACUGAGAAUCUUGAGUUCGGGAGAGGUGAGUGGAACUGCGAGUGUAGAGGUGAAAUUCGUAGAUAUUCGCAAGAACACCAGUGGCGAAGGCGGCUCACUGGCCCGAUACUGACGCUGAGGCACGAAAGC
rnacentral:rRNA from 1 species